rnacentral:rRNA from 1 species
GAGUUUGAUCGUGGCUCAGAUUGAACGCUGGCGGCAGGCCUAACACAUGCAAGUCGAGCGGUAGAGAGAAGCUUGCUUCUCUUGAGAGCGGCGGACGGGUGAGUAAUGCCUAGGAAUCUGCCUGGUAGUGGGGGAUAACGCUCGGAAACGGACGCUAAUACCGCAUACGUCCUACGGGAGAAAGCAGGGGACCUUCGGGCCUUGCGCUAUCAGAUGAGCCUAGGUCGGAUUAGCUAGUUGGUGAGGUAAUGGCUCACCAAGGCGACGAUCCGUAACUGGUCUGAGAGGAUGAUCAGUCACACUGGAACUGAGACACGGUCCAGACUCCUACGGGAGGCAGCAGUGGGGAAUAUUGGACAAUGGGCGAAAGCCUGAUCCAGCCAUGCCGCGUGUGUGAAGAAGGUCUUCGGAUUGUAAAGCACUUUAAGUUGGAGGAAGGGCAGUAAAUUAAUAACUUUGCUGUUUUGUACGUUACCGACUAGAAUAAGACACCGGCUAACUCUGUG